UUAUCAAAAUCUUCUUCAUCCAAGAAACAAAUGAGUCAAAAUAGGACCCACCAAAAAGCCAUCCUUUGUUUCAUCCACAUAGAACCGGCUUCCUUAUCAAAAUCUUCUUCUAGCAGCCAUUCAUCACCGUCUACUAUAGAAUCCUCUCUGAUUCUCCAUAGUUAGCCAUCCUUCAAUUGCUGCAAAUUAAGCUACGAUAAUUUCUCUGGAAUAACUACAAAUUCCCUCUUCUCAUACUCCAUAUUCACUUGAAAGUUUUCACCUUUGAUUACAAGUGCUCCAGUUGAAGAGAGAAGCAUUGGAAGGACAUGAAGUAGAUUUCUAAUCCAAAGUUGAUAACAAAUGAGAUUAAAAGGAAAGUAAUGCAGGUAAAUAGAAAAAGGGAACGAUCAAGAACAUUGCAAGCCUAUUUAAAACAAGUGUUAGGACAGUCCGGAGAAUUUGGAAGCUAGCAGCAAUUACUUCUAUAGAUGGAGGAGUUGAUGUAUCACGCAGAUUUCCUAAAAGAUGCGGGAGAAAACGAGUGGAGAUUGAUUUUACUUUGAUCAUGGCAAUUCCUCUUUGGCGCCGAACAAACAUCAGGUCACUUUCCAGUGAAAUGAAAGUGUCCAAAUCAACCCUUCACCGACGAAUUAAAGAAGGUGCUAUAAGGCCACACUCAAAUGCACUCAAACCACAAUUGACAAAUCAGAAUAAACAAGUACUUAAACUGUAUUAAUCAUGUGUUUUGAACAAAAUGAUGGUUGAAGUCAAGCAAUCAAGCCUUUUGAUUUUGUGGUGCAAGCUUUUGAUUGGGCAAAGAAUAUAGAAGCACUUUUAUAUACUAGUGAUUUUUGGAUUGAUUGCUUUUAUUUCAAUUUGCAAGAUUUUAGAAUAGCUCUGUAAAGUUAGCUUGAUGUUAGUAGCAGUAGUAUGACUUUUGUACAAAAGGGAAAAUGUGCAAUGCUGAGUGAAGCUAUGUACAUGUAUAGACAUUGAAGUACUACUUUUGUUGGAGUUUUUGAAACUGUCAAUAGCAUUAUUCUAU